UCCUCAUUGUGCAUACUCUCUCGCCGGUCAGACAGACGAGAGAGCAUGCAAAAUGAGGAGA
rnacentral:pre_miRNA from 1 species